CUGUGGUCGGAAGCGAGAGAAAGUCAGAAAGAAAAAAAACGUGCCAGGAGCACGGAAGAGCCGCUUGAGGAAAGCAUGAAGACCAACCAGUGGCGCAAAGGAUCCUUGGAAAGCGGCAAAGGCGCAAUGAAUCCUUCACACGGCACCUACCUUGCACUCGCCCUUCUGCUCAUCUCAGCUAUUCCACCAUGCCCAGGUGCUCCAGUGUUUUUAGGUCUAUCCACUACAGAGAAUGACAAGCUGCUAAACCAGAUAGAUAAUGCAUGCUCAUCCCUCCUUCCUGAAGAACAACCCCUCAGGACAGUGGACUCACUGUGGGAUCUGUGUGACUUGAUGCAGGGUGUGUUGCAGAAAUCUAAGGAGCUGGCAGCUCGAGAUACAACAAAAAGGUUUUUAUUUCAUUACACUAAGCAGAAUCCCGGAUUGCCUGAUGGGACGUCCACUGUGUUCCACCCUCUCCUGCAGCUCAUACCGCAGCUCCACAACAGAAGACGCAGAAGAGUAGCAUCACAUGAGACCCCACGCAUGAUCCAGAGCAGAGGAUACUUCUUAUAUCGGCCACGUAAUGGGAGACGAUCGACAGAAUAUGUGUAAACAAUGAAAAGAAAAAAAAACGAUAAAAAAAAAAUUCUGAAUAAAAAAAGCUGAGUAACCUCAAAGGAGAACCAGAAAACCCAGAGGCACCUGUCCCUCCCUGGACAUAACCACUUAUCACCUCCCUAUGGUGUACUGUGAUAUCGAAUGUACAUAGAGGAUUCAGAUCAAAUCAUAUUUUUUUUGGUCAUAGGUUCCUAAUUUGUGUAACCAUGUUGUGUCUUUAAAAAAUAAAAGUCAUUCUGCAAUGUUUU